AUGAUGAACACAAAGGGAAAGAGGAGAGGAACCCGAUAUAUGUUCUCUAGGCCUUUUAGAAAACAUGGAGUUGUUCCUUUGGCCACAUAUAUGUGAAUCUAUAAGAAAGGUGAUAUUACAGACAUCAAGGGAAUGGGCACUGUUCAAAAAGGAACGCCCCACAAGUGUUACCAUGGCAAAACUGGAAGAGUCUAUAAUGUUACCCAGCAUGCUGUUGGCAUUGUUGUAAACAAACAAGGGCAAGAUUCUUGCCGAGAGAAUUAAGGUGCGUAUUGAGCACACGAAGCAGUCUAAGAGCAGAGAUAGCUUCCUGAAACGCGUGAAGGAAAAUGAUCAGAAAAAGAAAGAAGCCAACGAGAAAGGGACCUGGGUUCAACUGAAGCACCAGCCUGCUCCACCCAGAGAAGCACACUUUGUGAGAACCAAUGGGAAAGAGCCCAAGCUGCUGGAACCUAUUCCCUAUGAACUCAUGGCA
rnacentral:lncRNA from 1 species